CCUACGGGUGGCAGCAGUGGGGAAUAUUGGACAAUGGGCGAAAGCCUGAUCCAGCCAUGCCGCGUGUGUGAAGAAGGCCUUCGGGUUGUAAAGCACUUUCAGUGGGGAAGAAAGCCUUGGGGCUAAUACCCUCGAGGAAGGACAUCACCCACAGAAGAAGCACCGGCUAACUCCGUGCCAGCAGCCGCGGUAAUACGGAGGGUGCGAGCGUUAAUCGGAAUUACUGGGCGUAAAGCGCGCGUAGGCGGUCUGAUAAGCCGGUUGUGAAAGCCCCGGGCUCAACCUGGGAACGGCAUCCGGAACUGUCAGGCUAGAGUGCAGGAGAGGAAGGUAGAAUUCCCGGUGUAGCGGUGAAAUGCGUAGAGAUCGGGAGGAAUACCAGUGGCGAAGGCGGCCUUCUGGACUGACACUGACGCUGAGGUGCGAAAGCGUGGGUAGCAAUCAGGAUUAGAUACCCCUGUAGUC
rnacentral:rRNA from 1 species